AUCUCGCCGACGUAGGGAGCGAGAGGGCUUCUCUUUGGCUUUCCAUCCCCACCUACAUCCAGAGGACAAGUGGACUCUACUGUAGCAGCAAUAGUUUUGCACCACUGGAGCGUUCUGCCUUUUUGUGGUUUGAAAACAGGAAACAGUAAAAGAAAAUUAACAUAAUGGAUGUUCCCAUCCCUGAAACUCUUGGGCUUUGCUGCUGCACAGCCAAACAGAAGCCUGUCAUGUCUCAAGCUGUGAGCACAGUGCUCCCCAAAGCUGGCGACAGUCACACAUCUCAGGCAUCCUGGCACAAACUCACUCUGCCUCCAUGCUCAUAGAGAUCUUGUGGGAAUAUUUGGUUGUGGUCUGUGACUCCUUGACUAAACAUCUGGACAACAGGUGCCAGAGCAGAGGAGGAAUCAUGCUUCUGCAGUGGUCAAAGGGGGGACCAUGAAGCUGGAUCUUGUGCUCAAAUGAUUCUCUCUAAGAAAGCAUGCUCCCCUGAUACAGUCUUUGUCAUAACCUGUCCUCACAUCAGACAGUCUCCUCUCUCUGCCUCUUCCCUAUCACACAACCCAACACAGUUAUUUGAAAGGCCUACAAAUAAUAAGAGAGCGAGAGCCCUAAAUACUUCUGAAAAUGGUCACAUUGUCCCCUUUACUGCAGCCCCAACAUUAAAAUUGUAUCCACCAUAAAACUCUCGCUCCUUGCUGUAGCUCUAUGGAUCUCGCAUGUUUUUCCCACUAUGCUCAUAUAUUCCUGUGCCCUGUCAGCCAACACAUUAAAGAAUUCAUAGCAAUGGCAGCUUCACACAAUGUGCCUUCCUCUCUAGUAGUCCAGACCAGUGAGU